AUAGCGGACCUCGGUGUCGAGUCCGCUCUUCCCACCCGGUACCUGAUACGGCCGGUGUGG
rfam:Hyalangium minutum strain DSM 14724 contig_3, whole genome shotgun sequence.